rnacentral:tRNA from 1 species
UGCAGCUUAACAAAAGCCCCUCACUUACACUGAGAAGAUAUCUGUUAAACCCGGAUUAUAUUGAG